UGCCCCUAUAGUUCAGAGGCCAAGAAUGCGGCCCUUUCACGGCCGUGACCCGGGUUCGAAUCCCGGUAGGGGCAU
rnacentral:tRNA from 1 species